AAAAUAUUUCUGUUGUCCCAAAGAUGAUUUCUCAACAAUGCAUCAUUUUGCUGGCAGAUUUUACCUCAAAGAAUAUGAAGAGUAAUAGGCCAUAUUAUUUUAAACACAUAGUCUCUUUACUUGGCUUGGAACAGUUAAGCUCACCAUGA
rnacentral:lncRNA from 1 species